GUAGCACAGUGGUAAAGCACAUGCUCAGCAUGCAUGAGGCCCUGGGUUCAAUCCCCAGC
rnacentral:tRNA from 1 species